GGCCGGGGCCCGGGCCGGGGCCGGGGGCCGGGGCCGGAACCGGGCGGCUGCGCGCUCACCUGCCGUGGAACCAGUCCUUGCAGGCGUCGCACUCGAUCAUGAAGCGGGCAAAAUCUGCAUGUUGCUGGGAGAUGCUGGCCACCACAAGCACAGAAUUCCAGACUUGAGGCAGGAAACCUGGGGCAGCUCACCUCACAGAAGCACCUUUAACAGACACUCAGCCGAGGCCUGCAGCUGCUAAGGGCCACUUGCUCCACUUAUCUGGUAAAGGCAGCGUUCUAAGAGUAGGCCCUUCAUGGGGUACCUGGACCAAGCUGAUCGGAUCCAGACCUGUGAGCCAUGAGAACUUUAGAACUCUCCUGGGUUUUUCUGGUAGGUGUGAAAGUGAGCUCUUCUUGUCCAUCUCUGUGAUGGCCCGGUGAUGUUUGGAAGCAGUUUGUUGAUAAAAAGCCCCUCAGCUGGGUGUCCAUAUAAUUUAUAAUCCAAAAGGGUGUGUUAAUAAAGCACUAGAACAGGGACAAACAUGGCUAUUCUGGUCCAAGUGGGAUGAGGGUGACACUCCUAUGGCCCACACUGGGGUUGGUCAGGUAUGAAGGGAUGGACAUGCACAAAUCCCAAAAGUGGAUGUGGUGUGACGAGAUCUGGCUAGGUUUGUCAUGGGUGCCGGGGCCUGCUAGGCACAGCAGGCUAAGGCCAACCAGGGCAUCCACCCUGAAGUAGUUCAAGCUCUGCUAAGGUCAUUCCCACCAUAGCCUCAUGUUAUUCCUCAGAGGACACCCACACAUUCCUCCACCAUAGUAAGUUCCUCCUUUCCCCCGCAUUUCCCUUCAUAAAGUGUAUUACCAUCACUGUUGCAUUUUCACACGGAUUUAUUCUUUUUCUCAUGUGCAUUUUUCACUUGACUGUCUACUGAGGCCGAGUGACACAGUACGGAGAGGUCUCUGUUCUGCUUAUGGCUGUCUCCUCAGCAGCAAGCACACCCCAAUAGACCCUUAGUGGACAGAAGGACUGAUGGAGAUCCAGGAUCACUCUAAGCAGGGAAGACCCAAGAUAUUUCUCUCCAGAUGCAGGGGUUUGGGAGCACUUGUGUAGAAGUAUGGUCACUGGGUUAAUACCAGGGGAGGACGAGACCCUCAGCCUGAAAUCAGCCUCCACCUGUCAGAGAGGCAGGGCCAUAGUUCUUUAUUACCAGGCAGGUUCAUUCCAGGUGGAACUGUUGGCAUUCAGGUCUGCCUGGGCCACUUCUGGUCACUCUCAUGGGUGUCAAGAAAAAAGAAACACAUGCAGCCAAAGCUAAGUCACACCCAGCUAAGGGUCUGGGAUAGCAGUGCCCCCCUCACCCCUAGGGUUUCAGAGACCCUGGGCUGAACGCAGUCUGCACUUACCAGGACAGAGGCAGGCAGUGUGUAUUAGCUUCCUGGGGCUACCAUGCCAAGGUACCACUGGUUGACUGUGUUAUCUCAGGGUUCUAGAGGCCAGAAGUCAAGAUCAAGGUGCCAGCAGGGAUAUGCUACCUCUGAACGCCCAUGGAAGGGUCUAGUCCAGGCAGCUCUACAGCUUCUGGUAGUUCCUUGGCUUGUGGUAGCACCAGUCCAUACAUGGCCAUUUUGUCCCUUUGUGAGUGUCUGUCUCUGUAUCCAAAUGUUCCCCCUUUUUUAGGGACACCAGGUUUGUUGGGUUAGGAUCCAUCCUGCUCCAGCAUGACCUCGUCCUAACCUAUUUACAUCUGUAGUAACCAUAUUUCCAAAUAAUGUCCCAUUCUGAGGGACUGGAGUCAGGGCUCCAACAUAUGAAUCUGGGGGACACAGUCCAGCCCACAACACAGGGUGAAACGUCUAAUGCAGAGCUGCUCUGGCCCUGUCUGCAGGUCCUCAGAGCACCUGUGACCCAGGCUGUGCUGGGGAGCUAACAGGGAAAGGAGUAGAGGACAAGCAUUCAACAGCCUAGGCCUGCAUGGGCAGGACAAAGGUACGGCUCCCAGCAAAGUGGCCUCCCCAGGGUUCACUCUACCAAGUUGAGAUUAAGGAGUAAAAGGGGAGCAAUGAAUUAGUUACUCUCAGGAAAUCUGAGGGUAGAAUAAGGUUCCCAGAAGAGAGAGUUAUUCUUUUUUUGUCGUUGCCUUUUUGUCCUUUUAGGGCCA